AAUCAACGCUGGCGGCGUGCCUAACACAUGCAAGUCGAACGCGAAAGGGGAGCAAUCCCUGAGUAGAGUGGCAAACGGGUGAGUAACACGUGGGUGACCUGCCUUCGAGUGGGGGAUAACGUCCCGAAAGGGACGCUAAUACCGCAUGACAUCCUGCUCUUGGAAGAGCGGAGAUCAAAGCUGGGGAUCGCAAGACCUGGCGCUUGAAGAGGGGCCCGCGCCUGAUUAGCUAGUUGGUAGGUAAUGCCUACCAAGGCAACGAUCAGUAUCCGGCCUGAGAGGGCGGACGGACACACUGGGACUGAGACACGGGCCCAGACUCCUACGGGAGGCAGCAGUGGGGAAUUGUUCGCAAUGGGCGCAAGCCUGACGACGCAACGCCGCGUGGA
rnacentral:rRNA from 1 species